rnacentral:rRNA from 1 species
GCAAGUCGAGCGCCUUCUAGCUAUGGUGAAGGCGCGGCAAACGGCUCAGUAACACGUGGCCAACCUACCCUUGGGACGGAGACAACCCCGGGAAACUGGGGCUAAUCCCCGAUAGGUAAGGAAUCCUGGAAUGGAUCUUUGCUGAAAGGGCGUCUAGACCAUGCUUCUUGACGUCGCCCAAGGAUGGAGCCGCGGCCGAUCAGGUAGUUGGCGAGGCAACGGCUCACCAAGCCUAUAACCGGUACGGGCCGUGAGAGCGGUAGCCCGGAGAUGGGCACUGAGACAAGGGCCCAGGCCCCACGGGGCGCAGCAGUUGCGAAAACUCCGCAAUGCGCGAAAGCGUGACGGGGCUACCCCGAGUGCCGCCCGUUGAGGGCGGCUUUUCCACGGUGUAAGGAGCCGUGGGAAUAAGGAGAGGGCAAGACUGGUGUCAGCCGCCGCGGUAAUACCAGCUCUCCGAGUGGUGGGGACGAUUAUUGGGCUUAAAGCGUUCGUAGCCGGCUUAACAAGUCUUCCGUUAAAUCCAACGAUCUAAUCGUUGGGCUGCGGGAGAUACUGUUGGGCUAGGAGGCGGGAGAAGCCGACGGUAUUCCCGGGGUAGGGGUGAAAUCCUGUAAUCCCGGGGGGACACCAGUGGCGAAGGCGGUCGGCUAGAACGCGCUCGACGGUGAGGGACGAAAGCUGGGGGAGCGAACCGGAUUAGAAACCCGGAUAGUCCCAGCUGUAAACGAUGCGGGCUAGGUGUUGGGGUGGCCACGAGCCACUUCAGUGCCGCAUGGAAGCAAUUAAGCCCGCCGCCUGGGGAGUACGGCCGCAAGGCUGAAACUUAAAGGAAUUGGCGGGGGAGCACCACAAGGCGUGAAGCUUGCGGUUUAAUUGGAGUCAACGCCGGGAAACUUACCGGGGGCGACAGCAGUAUGAAAGCCAGAUUGAAGGUCUUGCUGGACGAGCUGAGAGGAGGUGCAUGGCCGUCGCCAGUUCGUGCAGUGAGGUGUCCUGUUAAGUCAGGCAACGAUCGAGACCCGCCUCCCUUGUUGCUACUGGUGAAUAGCCAGGCACACUAGGGAAACUGCCGUCGAUAAGGCGGAGGAAGGAGCGGGCCACGGCAGGUCAGUAUGCCCCGAAUCCCCCGGGCCACACGCGAGCUGCGAUGGCAGGGACAAUGGGUUUCAACCCUGAAAGGGGGAGGUAAUCUCUAACCCUGCCUCAGUUGGGAUCGAGGGCUGUACUCCCCCUCGUGA